AAUAUGUGAUACAACCUGUUACCACUAUUCAUCAGAGGGAAAGAAAUACAGAUAAUGAAACAUAAAAAUGCCCCAUGAAAACCAUAUUUAAUAAAGCUUUAAAUAGCUGAACAGAAAUGUACAAGGCAAAGAAACACAGUCCUGCUGUUUCAGAACCAAAGCAAUUUUAUGGAAAAUGAAAAGAAUACUUGCAAUAAUUUCAUGCACUCACACUUUCAUUCUUAUUUUAAGUGGAAAUAUAUCAGGAAAUUCAUACACAGAGGGCACAUAAAUAGUACUUUAUCUGUCCCAUGGAAAAGACAGCAUGAAAGAUUCAUUAGACUCUGGGAUAUAUAAUGACUUCUUGAUUCUUUCAGUUCUUGGCCAGUGCUCUAAUGAAAUUCAAACCUGCUACAUCUGCCAUACUACACUGUUAAUUAGUUUUCUAUUUAUUUAGCAGAUCUAGAAGUGGAAAGCAAUCUAUUGCCAGUGAAUUGUUUGACUUCUAUGCUAAGCAGGCUGCAUUCCAAUCCUCUAAUGUUGAAACUAGCAUGAAUCCAACUUUCAUCUCAUUGCCAUGUCAAAUUAGCACCCAGCAGAUUCCAGAUACAAAGGUACAGAGACUUUUUUUUUUUUUUUUUUAACUUUGGUUUGUAAAAGACCAACAGUUCUUGAAGUCAAGAAGUUGAGGAUCGGCAAUUUCCUGAUUUUCUGCAAUGUCUCUUUUCUUCCCUUCCCCCCUAAUUUACUAUAAUAUAUUAAAUAUAGGAUGUAUAUCUGCUGUGGUAUGUUUGUACUGAAGGACAAACAUGAUUUUAAGCAGACUCUCUUCAUUAUGUAAAACAAAAAAUACUGAUGUGUACUCUUCAAGAGUUUGAAUAAAAUACUGCCCAGCUCAAGAAAAGCCCAGAAUGCCCUGACAGAGCUUAUGAGAUGACUUUUGUACAUGCUUUGCCAUUUUCUAUUUCUGUCUGUCUGUAUUCUGCAACGUAUUGCAGCAUCUAAACGUGACAUUCUGAAUGGGACUGACUCCUGUCUUGCAGUGUCAACAGAACCACUGGGUUGUGAAAGUGUAAAGCAAAGCCAGAUAAAAACAGAAAAUAAAUUGGCUAGAAACUGAACCAUUAAUUCUCGCAUAAUACAAUGCACGAACUACAAUGUGUUAGAGGCUGUUGUAAAACUACAAAUCCACAUCCAGAGAUUGGAGUUUGCCUUGAAUUUUUUUUUCCUUUUUUUUUUUUUUUCCCUAAAAUCUAGAUAUGAACUUUGAAGAAUGUGGCUUUUGGAUCAGUCUAGUCCUAAAUAAGUCACUAUUAUGAAAUGAGUAAGUAAAAUGCUGUGCUGAACUUUGGCAAAGAAAUGACUAAGCUGUUCCCCUACAGUAUUAUUUGUAGAACAUCCUUGAUAAAAUCCUUUACAUAGGGAAGGUGUUGGUUUUGAGUAAUUUACAAAGUAAAUCUGAGAAAAACAAUAUACAACACAGGACAGCAAUACACAAAACCUGGACCAAGAGCACACUGGUAGUAGCAUUCACAAAGGAGCCUCUUUUCCUUGACGGAUUGAUGUUUUUGAAAAAAUAUUUUUGGAUUUCAGGUCUGAAUCAGAAAUAGUGAGCUCUGGGUUAAGUACUGGUUGAAAACCAAUCUAUAGUUGUUGAACUGUAUUGUGUUAAUCACUUAGAUGGCUUGAGAUUGAUAGAAGAAAAUCUUUUUCUCUUUUUUUUUUUAAAGUUGUGAUACCUUGAAAGAAAGUUCAAAGCUGGGACUGAGCUGAGACAAAGAAGGUAGACAGGAGAAGAGAGAUGAAUGUGUGAGACAAAGUGGAAUAGGAAAGGAAACCUGCAGAGUUUUGAACUGAAGGAACUUGAUCUCAGCUAAGAAGAGAAAAUCCAGGAACAGUCAAGAUGAGUCAACCCAACUUCUUUUCUGAUUGAAAUUCACUGCUGUCUCUGCUGUUUUUUUGUUUUGUUUUGUUUUGUUUUGUUUUUUUUUCUUUUUCCUUUCCCUUUUCUUUUCCCAGUGAUAGAUAGAUACUUUGUUGACUCUGCUAUUAUUUCUUUACUAUGUUCCUCUCUUCCACCUUUAAGAAAAGCAACCUACCUGAAAAACUGGUAAUCCUGAGCCUGGGAAAAAUAAAAUAGCCCAGCAUAGUGAUAUCUGUAAUUCAGACUCAGCAGUGACAUGAAUUCCUGAGUGCUCCCUGGGAGUCCUCCUUCUUACAGCUCAGUACUUCAUAAGGGUAGAAAAAAGGCAACAAACUGAAUGAGCUAGAAAGAGUAAUUUUCCUAUAUUUUUAAGUUGUUUUCUGGGAUUCCUGGCAUGUUCAGAAGGACUGAGCAGUGCUCCUUAACAAAGCUUGCAAUUAAGUAAAUGUUGUGUUUGUUAUGGUUAGGUUUGAAUUUUUGAUAGCCAGGAAUGGUGAAGAGUAUAAGGUAGGAUUUAUUCAUCUUUUCCAGUGUUUACAGAGCUGGAUGGACUGAAACAAGCAGCUGAGAUUUAAGGUAGAAAUCUGUAAAGUAGAGCUAUAAUAAUGAAGCUGCGCAAUGUAUAAGCAUGUCUUCUGAUGAUUAGGAAUAAAUCCAUGAGUUUCAGGAGCCUUAAAUAUACCUGUUCUGCAGUUUUUCCAAAUGGCUGGAUUAUCUGCAUACACAUAUGACACAACUGCCAGAGAGACUUCUGCUUAUUAGGAACCGUUCACAAUCUUCCUGUAAGUUGCCAGAGCUGAAUCACGGCCACAGCUCCCCUUUGUUUAUGCCCAGCUGGGAAAUCUUGGUUUUGUCCUACCUAUCCCUGAGCACUGGGGGUGCAUGGUACAGGACGUCCUCUACUACAGACUCCUGCCCUGCUGGGAGGGGGCAGGGAGCUCAUCCUGCACACAAGGCUGCCCUGGUGCUCCUUGGGCUGACUUUGUUCUGUGCUUAUGCCUGCUUUUGUGCAGUAGUGUAAGAAAAGAGUUUGUCUGACUCCCAUAUGCAGCCAACAGAUGCUUGUGACCAUGGGUGUUGCAUGAUCAACAAAUGGUAACAUAAAAUCUUUAAACCUACCAAAAGAAUUGAGAAUUUCAGCAAAUUUCUCUCUUGUCUGGAUGCUCAUUUUGAUUGGCUAUUGAAAAAAAAAAAAAAAGCCAGUUGUGCGUAAACUCCAUCUGUUCUUAUGGAGCAGUAUAUAUGUAGUUGGGAGGAAAACUUAAAGGGAUAUGUGAGCGGUGUUAUUGGAAAAACAGAAGAACCGAAUAUGGUAUCAGAAUCCCUUUUGGUGCACAGAGGGGGCUGCAAUAACUGGAGAGUAUUCAGCUUUCUGCAAAAAUAUUAUCAGAAGAAAUUGAUCCUUUAAUGUAUGCCUUGGAAAAGAAAAAAUUAAGCUUUUAAAAUUAUGCUUCCAUUUUACAGUACUGUGUAAUUUGAUUAUACAAACUACACCUAUGCAGGUGUUUCACUGAAAUGUUUCUCUCUGUACUCAGCAGAACAAGGAUACAGACCUUACUGAACAGUGGGAUGAGAUGCAGAGUCUUAGGAGCUGUUACGUAGGUGAUUGACACAUCUUACGUUAUUUGUUCUUCUGGUCUGUGAUGCACCCUAGAAAACUCUACAUUUCUUUGGGCCUGAUGCAAUUUUGUAGACUUGCAGAACAGCCCUGGAGAAGUCAUGCAUGUGCCACAACAUCUGAACGGAUCUGAGGAAUGGGAAAAAAAGACGGGAGGAGAGGAAGCACUGAGCACUUUCCACAAAACAAGGCCUCUGGAAAUAAGAUGGCGUCGAAAUCUCUGCAUUUAUUGCUAUGUGCUUAAAAGGUCCUUUAUAGUUCAGGCAAGAACGAUUCUUGCCCUGGCAAGCUUACACGCUAAUUGAAACCUCUGUAUUCUUGUGCUUGCACAACACAGCAAAAUGGAGAGCCGCAGCGAUGGAAAUACUGUGACGUUGGUCAGGUCAAAAUACACAUUACAAGAGCAUCAGCCAGGAGAAAAAGGUGGAUAUUACUGUGAGAAAAGGAGAUAGCUGGAAAAAGGAGGCUGGUUAGAGCAGUAUAGCUUAGGGGGUGCGGCUCAAAAGGAGAAGUCUGGGUAAUUUGGGAGGAAAGAAAAUAUGCAGGAAGCUUGGAAAGCCAGGAGCUCUGAGAUAAAUUAAAGGAGACAGAGCAGACCAACAAAAUGAGUAGAUUUGAUUGUUUGAAUGACAUGUGUGCAGUUGAGUAACAGGUGAAAGGAAUAAGGAGGACAUAGUAGUCUGAGAAGCUUUAUAGGGAUCACCUAGAAGCCAGAGGCAACAGGAGGAAAAAUCAGAGUCCACCAAUGCUCGGGAAAAUGGACAAAAUGGAAUAGGAAUGGUACAGAUCCAGAGGAGAAGCAAAAUACUUCAUGUUUUGGAAGAUGCUGGAGAAAUCUCUCCAAAUGCUUCUCUACUUGUUUGUGGUCCACACUGGCACAGAAACUUCCCUUUUUUAAGUAAAGGGACAGGUAUGUCAUAUGAAAAGCAAUUUUAGGUAAGUUGACUAUUAAUGACAAGCAAUGAGAUCACAUUCUAGUUUAAGGCGUAUUAUAUUUGUAUAUCGACCUACACAGUUGUACAGUUUGGACUUAAUGUUGUGUACAUUUAUAUAUGAAAUUCCACUAAUAAACAAUACCAUCAAAAAGGUCAAAAUUACAGAUGUUAAAAAAAAACAAAAAACUUUUUGUAAUUGUACAGUGACCUAAGUGUUUAGGUUGGAAGGCACCUCUUGAAAUCACCUAGUCCAACCCCACACAGGGAAUUCAGUAAUUAUUUUAGAAUUUUAUGUUUCAAAAACGAGGGAAUAUGUAAUGCAUUUAAAAAUUCAUUCAUGAAAUGAGAUAAAAUUGAGAUUACCACUUACUACAUAUGAUCAACUGUUGUGCAUAGAUGUCCUUUUCAGCUAAAAUGAAGCAAGGAUAACUGAAGUCUGUAAUAAGACAUGAAUAACGAUUUCACGCGUAACAAAAUUCUUGAUCGUAAACAGCCAAAUGACAGCAAUUUCUUGGCUGUUGUGAGGAAAAAGUAUGAAAUAAUGUAAGUAACUCUUUCAUCAGUUUUCUACAUCUAGUGUCUGAAGAUAAAACAAGAGAAUUACAUCAAUACUGUAUGCAAAACUGGUCAUUUUAGUCAUAAUAUAUUAGUAAAGUUCACUUAUCUUACUACAUUACUAUCUACUAUUUUGUAUGUGCAAUAACUAGUUAUCAAAUUAAUCUUUAUAUUUCAGUCUCCUAAUUAAAUGAAGUUCUUAGCUUGCCUUUUUUUUUUUUUUUGAGAGGGUUUUAACAGACCUCCCCAGAACCCUACUACUGGAGCAAAAUUGUGAGCAUAUCUACAUAACAUCUCAGGUACAAGCCUGAGCGUACAGUGCCAGGACUCCCUUACUAAUCACCCGCUGUCAAUCUGACAGAGCUCUGCUUACUCUGACAAACAUCUCCAGUGGUACCAAGAUCUGUCUGUAGCCAGAGGGAUAAGUGACUUCACUAACCUGUAAGACAGGUGUGCACAAACUUCAAAAGAGGACAAAAGAUCAGCUACGCCCCUAAUUAAAAUCAGAUGGAUGACUAUAAAUAGACUACAUGGGAGGAAAACCAAAGUGGAGAUGUACACAUUUGAAUUGACUCGCUAAAACCUUUUUUCUGGCAUUAAAUUUGGCCAUGUAAAGCAAGUAGAAAAUUUCUGGAGAUGGGGAAAUUCUUUACGUCCAGUAGUGCCUCCUCUUCUCCUCUAAAAGAGAAGCAAGUGGUCUGCAAGCUUCCCAAGUAACAGGGACUUUCCAGACCUUGCUGGGGUGGGUACAAGGAAGGCUGCCUAUUUUGGAUCACCUAACACCUGGUUUCAUGCUGACUUUCUUUAAUCAAAAGAAAAUUAUGAAAAUUCAAGGAAACUUUUUCCUGCCUUGCCUUGAGCAGUGUUUUCUUUAUAGUCCCUGACACAACCUGUUGUCUUUUAAGCAUAUUGUUACACAAGACCAAAUAUUUGUUAAUACAUAAAACAGUAUUGUUACACAAACUGGAUAGUGGAGUAUGUUCUCUGGGAUACCUACCUUUGCGUGAUCAGGAUGUAGAGGGGAAGGCUAAAAACCUCAGAGAAUUAUCACACCUGUUCUGUAAAAACGAAACCCUGAAAUCACUAUAAUAACUGUAAUAACCUUUCUUUCCUAGUUCAACAGAUUAUGUAAACACUCAAAAGGUGAAGAAAGCUGCCUGUGAAACUUUCAAAUAUAUUUUAACCAAUACAGUACCAUAAAAGAUCAUGUUAACAUUUCAGUUAUCACCUUAUUUACAAAUGAUACAAUAAAUUCCAUAACUUGCAACUGCUCAUUAGAGAAAGUGGCCUUAACUUUCUAAGUUACAAGAAAAGUUGUAUGUACAUGGAAAUUCCUCAUGUUCUAGUUGAACAGGAAUAUCUACAUGUGAACUAGAUCUGCUCAAGUCAUCUGAAUAUACACAGAGAAUGUUAUGUUUUCUCGUACUUCAGUUAUAAUCAGAGGGCAAACACAAAACAUUUCAAACUAAAAAUGAUAAAAAAUAUAAGAAUCUGAGAGAUGGUUAGAAUGGUUAAAAUAAAUUUGAUACGUUUGGAAAUUAUAUCUUCAAUAACUUGUUUCUUUAAUUAGACCACUAUGUCUAAAUAUGGACAAUUACUCAAUUUUGUAUAACAUCUACUUUGCCUCUACACCAUUAAUGAAUUUUUCAGCUUACUUCCUUGCCCCCUUACUCUGUAGUCUGUCCUACACAAUGAAUUUUUUUAAUGUAAAAUACUAAUACGCUUCUGAAAGCCAGAAGUAGGGAACGACUGCAUUACAGGGUAAUUUAGUUCUUGUCAAAAUCCUGAACCCAGGCUCCUGCUCAGACUAUUUGAGAAAUUGUUAAUAGAAAAAUGUUUCUGCCUGCUUACAGUGAGAUUCAGAUGCCUAUACAAGAGCUUGCAGCAGCUGUUCCAGAUGCCCUUUAAGGUGCUAGAGACAUCCAGACAGAGCAGGCUGAUGUGAUGCAGGAACUCUGAGAAAAGUGACCUGGAGAUUUGAGCAGGUACCAAACGGGAUACCAGAAGGCAAGUGAAUCCUACCCUUUAUAGUGUUUAUACUCCCCUAACAAAGAAUUACUGUAAUUCAGCAGUAAACUCACAUAAUAAUGAGAUUAUUAGUAUUAGCUAAGUAAGAUCGUACAAUUGUGUGUGACUGUAGCUCCAAAUGGGCUCCAGUGACAGUCAAACAAGGACUUACGAUGUACCAUUCUACAGCUGCCAAAGAAGACAGCACGAGCCUUAGGAUGCCUCCUGUUUCUGUGAGGAGAUGCCAAAUCCACCCAAGUCAUAGUGGCACUGCUAUAGCAGGCUUUCAUCCUUGCAUCUCAAAGUACUUUACUACAGUGUGUUUCGCAGCUUCUGAAGGGUAGAAAACAGUGAAAUGGGGGUAUACUGUAACUACUGCUAGCUACUGUAUUCCAGGAGAGACCUCCCAUGCUCAGGAGAAAGACAAUGGGUAGGAGGAACAAAUGGGAGAGAGUGCCAUCUGCAAACAAAACAAGAGUUUAGGCUUCCAGCAGUGUAAAAAGACCAUAUAAAAUGUUGUGAGACUGAAUACCAUCUCUGCUGUUUCCUUCUAGAGAAAAGGCACUAAUACCCAUGAGUAGAUAAAGCAGACAACAAGCUUCUGAAUAUACUGUAGCAUGGAAGCAAAGUGGUCUUUGUGUGGGAAACUGAUGAUCACUGUGCCCUGUCCUUUGCUUUGGAGGAAUACUGCUGAACAAGUCUCUCAUCUCCAGAUGCUUCUCAGGUUUAUAAUGCUUAGUCCCCUUUCUUCCGCACAGCUUUAUAACUCCAGAUGCUUCUCUUAUUUUUGCCACCAUUAGAUGUAACAAAGAACUUAGGAAAAAUAAAGAUUUGGAAUAUAUAAAG